rnacentral:rRNA from 1 species
UACGGGGGGGGCAAGCGUUGUUCGGAAUUACUGGGCGUAAAGGGCUCGUAGGUGGCCAACUAAGUCAGCACGUGAAAUCCCUCGGCUUAACCGGGGAACUGCGUCUGAUACUGGAUGGCUUGAGUUUGGGAGAGGGACGCGGAAUUCCAGGUGUAGCGGUGAAAUGCGUAGAUAUGCGGAGGAACACCGAUGGCGAAGGCAAUCCCCUGGGCCUGCACUGACGCUCGAUGACACGAAAGCGUGGGAGGCGAACA